rnacentral:rRNA from 1 species
AGCGAACGCUGGCGGCAGGCCUAACACAUGCAAGUCGAGCGGCCGUAGCAAUACGGCAGCGGCAGACGGGAUAGUAACACGUGGGAACGCGCCCUUCGGUUCGGAAUAACUCAGGGAAACUUGAGCUAAUACCGGAUACGCCCUUACGGGGAAAGAUUUAUUGCCGAAGGAACGGCCCGCGUCGAUUAGCUAGUUGGUGAGGUAAUGGCUCACCAAGGCGACGAUCCGUAGCUGGUCUGAGAGGAUGACCAGCAUCACUGGGACUGAGACACGGCCCAGACUCCUACGGGAGGCAGCAGUGGGGAAUAUUGCGCAAUGGGCGGAAGCCUGACGCAGCGACGCCG